rnacentral:rRNA from 1 species
UACGUAGGUGGCAAGCGUUGUCCGGAUUUACUGGGCGUAAAGAGCGCGCAGGCGGCUGGUCAAGUCCAACGUGAAAUCUCCCGGCUUAACUGGGAACCCGCGUCGGAAACUGAUCGGCUUGAAGGUGGGAGAGGGUAGCGGAAUUCCCGGUGUAGUGGUGAAAUGCGUAGAUAUCGGGAGGAACACCAGUGGCGAAGGCGGCUACCUGGCCCACUCUUGACGCUGAGGCGCGAAAGCUAGGGGAGCAAAC